AGGACGAACGCUGGCGGCGUGCUUAACACAUGCAAGUCGAGCGGUAGAGAGGUGCUUGCAUCUCUUGGGAGCGGCGGACGGGUGAGUAAUGCCUAGGAAUCUGCCUAGUGGUGGGGGAUAACGUUCGGAAACGGACGCUAAUACCGCAUACGUCCUACGGGAGAAAGCGGGGGACCUUCGGGCCUCGCGCCAUUAGAUGAGCCUAGGUCGGAUUAGCUAGUUGGUGAGGUAAUGGCUCACCAAGGCGACGAUCCGUAACUGGUCUGAGAGGAUGAUCAGUCACACUGGAACUGAGACACGGUCCAGGACUCCUACGGGAGGCAGCAGUGGGGAAUAUUGGACAAUGGGACGAAAGCCUGAUCCAGCCAUCGCCGCGUGUGUGAAGAAGGUCGUUCGGAUUAGUAAAGCUAACGUUUUAAGGUGGGAAGGUAAGGUUUGUAAACGUUUAA
rnacentral:rRNA from 1 species